rnacentral:rRNA from 1 species
UGGGGAAUAUUGCACAAUGGGCGGAAGCCUGAUGCAGCAACGCCGCGUGCGGGAUGACGGCCUUCGGGUUGUAAACCGCUUUCGCCUGUGACGAAGCGUGAGUGACGGUAAUGGGUAAAGAAGCACCGGCUAACUACGUGCCAGCAGCCGCGGUGAUAGGUAGGGUGCGAGCGUUGUCCGGAUUUAUUGGGCGUAAAGGGCUCGUAGGUGGUUGAUCGCGUCGGAAGUGUAAUCUUGGGGCUUAACCCUGAGCGUGCUUUCGAUACGGGUUGACUUGAGGAAGGUAGGGGAGAAUGGAAUUCCUGGUGGAGCGGUGGAAUGCGCAGAUAUCAGGAGGAACACCAGUGGCGAAGGCGGUUCUCUGGGCCUUUCCUGACGCUGAGGAGCGAAAGCGUGGGGAGCGAACA